UCUGAUAGCGCCUUUCGUAUAUGUUAUAAGGGCUCAUAACGCCGGUUCAAAUUUCAUUAAUCCAAUUUUCCGGUCGGAAAAUUUCUGAACUUUGUUAAUGUGUGGGACCGCAUCAUAAACGAUGAGCGUGCUGAUUUAUUUGCCUUGUCUAUUUCUGUGCAACGCACAGAAUUCUGUACAACCCACAGAAUGAGGCAGCGCAAACAAAUCGUUCACAGCGUAUCGGCUCAGUCGGAUGGAUACGGUUUAGGCCAGAAUCUUGGUCCUGUUGGCCGGGUCUGUUUCCUCUUGUUUCAUUUACUUCGGCCUACCAGCUGGUACUCUUGAUUCAAAAUUGACGUUGGAUCAACCAGCCUCCAACUUUGUGGAAAAUCGACACUCUUCCGGACAUUAGCCAAACUCCACCGAACCGAAUAAUUAAAAUAUUCCUCUCCCUGACCAGAACUGUGAAGGCAAUCCAUACAAGUUUGGCUCACAUUUCGGACGGAUUUCCUUGACGGGAAGUCUGGAUGAUGAUAAUGCAAAUCCGCAAAAACUCGGUUAUCACAUUUGCAAUUUGCGGGGCAUUUUGCGGGUUUUUGUUAGCUGUGGUUCUCUUGAACGGAGCGGCAGCGGACCGGCCUAGGAUCUUCGUGGACAAGGGUUCUCGCUCAAGCUCGAAUGCAGGCUUGCAGUUGGACAUAAGCAACAUUCGCGACUAUCUGUGCAAUACCGACUACGACGUCGAGGGAGAUCCACCGGGUAUUGGUAGUCGUAUUAUAAGUGGCAGUAUGGUGGCUUCCCGUUGCUGGAAGCAUGACCGCUACUGCCGGGAAAGCUGUCAAAGACUCCAUCAGUCUCCCCUUGCCGUAGGCUACUGUUUUGGAACACCUCCGAAGUGCUACUGCGAAUAUGAGCAACGUACACACACUCCACAGUCUAGAAACUCUUCAUUGACCGAAGACUCCGGCGCUGAUUACGCAGAGUAAACAACAAUCAUUACCACUUACUCCCGAUUGUUCUCCCACAAGCAAACGAAUGUUUUGAGCGUUGAGUUAUGUAAACGGGCUCGAACAAACGCAAAAAGAUCCAAGAUAAAGCUCACUUUUACAGAUACAUAGCACAUACAGUGCGAGAUAAUAAUUAUACAUGUAUUAUCCUCGUUGAAAAUCUGGAAGUUCUAAACUAUAUUUUUUGCCGUUUAUCUGUAUGUUUUGUCACUGUUGUGUGCUCCUGUAGUGAGCACAAUGAUGUUUUACCUGGCCUGUCACUUUUACGAUUAUAAAGCAGCUCUG